CAUGGAUAACCGUGGUAAUUCUACAGCUAAUACAUGAGCAAAAUCUCAACUUUAUUAGAAGAGACGCAUUUAUUAGAUAAAAAGCCAAUGCAUGCUUUUACAGUAUGAAAAUUGGUGAUUUAUAAUAACUUAGCAAAUCGCAAAGUGAAAACAGGCGAUAAAUCAUUCAAGUUUCUGACCUAUCAGCUUUCGACGGUAUGGUAUUGGCUUACCGUGGCAGUGACGGUUAACGGGGGAUUAGGGUUCGAUUCCGGAGAGGGAGCCUGAGAAACGGCUACCACAUCUAAGGAAGGCAGCAGGCGCGCAAAUUACCCAAUUCUAACAGUUUGAGAGAGGUAGUAACAAGAAAUAACAAUACAAGGCAGUUAAAAUGCUUUGUAAUUGGAAUGAUAGAAAUUUAAACCCUUUUUAAAGUAUCAAUUGGAGGGCAAGUCUGGUGCCAGCAGCCGCGGUAAUUCCAGCUCCAAUAGCGUAUAUUAAAAUUGUUGCAGUUAAAAAGCUCGUAGUUGAAGUUCUGCUAAAAGUAACCGGUCUGCUUUUAAUAAAAGUGGUAUCUUGGUAUGUAUUUAGCAAUGAUGUCCUUUGAAGUGUUUUUUACUUUAUUGUAAUAAAGCAUAUUCAGGACUUUUACUU
rnacentral:rRNA from 1 species